rnacentral:rRNA from 1 species
AUUGAACGCUGGCGGCAUGCCUUACACAUGCAAGUCGAACGGUAGAGGGGCAACCCUUGAGAGUGGCGAACGGGUGAGUAGCGUAUCGGAACAGGCCCGAUCGUGGGGGAUAACGUAGCGAAAGUUACGCUAAGACCGCAUACGAGCUGAGGAUGAAAGCGGGGGACCGAAGGGCCUCGCGCGAUCGGAGUGGCCGAUAGCAGGUUAGGUAGUAGGUGGGGUAAAGGCCUACCAAGCCGACGAUCUGUAGCGGGUCUGAGAGGACGACCAGCCGCACUGGGACUGAGACACGGCCCAGACUCCUACGGGAGGCAGCAGUGGGGAAUUUUGGACAAUGGGCGCAAGCCUGAUCCAGCAAUGCCGCGUGCAGGACGAAGGCCUUCGGGUUGUAAACUGCUUUUGUACGGAGCGAAAAGGUCUUCUCUAAUACAGGGGGCUGAUGACGGUACCGUAAGAAUAAGCACCGGCUAACUACGUGCCAGCCGCCGCUGUAA